AAGAUUCCCCCUUCUUCUUCCACUUACAGAUCGGCCAUGGCUUCAACUGAAAUCAGUAGCCGCUUCGUUUUGUUUUCAUAACCCUAAAUCUAUAAUCUAAAAUUUAUAAACAUGAAGGAGCUGCAAACCCUAGAAUAUCUUUUUUCCUUAGGGCUUCCAAAAAUUCCAGUUUCGUAGCCAUGGUUUGAAGAGGAUAUUUGGACCGAGAUAGCAAAAUAUGGAGACGAAAAUGUAUAUUGAUGCUUAGAUCCUCUUGUCGUUGGUUUCGUCGUGUAAUUUUGGAAGAAGAUAGUGUAUGCAAAUGUGCUUGCUUACGUGAUCUUUAAGUUCCUCCGUUUCGCCAACAACUCUCCUCUAAAUGGAUCCAAUUCUACAUUUGGAGAAAGUCUCCGUAGCCUUGAAGUGGAGAUUGUAAGUGCUGACGGCCAUGAUGAUGGAGGAGAAAGACAAGGAUCUACAGAUAGAUUGCCUUUCGGUGAUCUUCAUCCAGCACGCCAAGAAGAGCAAAUCCAUUAUCAAAUUCCAUGCCACUCAGUAGCAGAGAUGCUUCACUUCAGAGCGUUAGUGAAUUUUCUGAAAAUCCUAAUCAAGGAGCAGAUCUUCAUAUAAAAUGCUUCACUCCAAGAAGAGCAAACCUAUGGAACUCUAGUCAAGUGUAUUCCAGUGAAACAUAUUAUUGCAGGCAAUUAUAGCAUACACAAGUGGUAAGGGUAGUUGGUCUGGUUCAUUUACACAUUCAGAGAGUGGUGGUGCAGGGUCUCAAUCAGGGGAAAAUUCUGGAGUUAGAGGUUGCGACCUGUUGGCUCUCAAAAGAUAAUGUGCUCGGAGAGGUUGGUUAUGAAGUUGCUUAUCGUGGUAAAGUAGGAAAAGAUGGAAAAGUGAAUCUUUCAACAGUUGAGAAAUAUGUGAGUAUUCUUGGCUUUUGAAUGAAACUUGUACACGAGGUAUGCUACUUCCUCUUGCAAUUUGAUUUAAGCAAGGAUAUUCUUUGUACUUUAAUUUCGAGUUAUGUCUACGAAGUACUGAUAUUAAGUUGGUUUGUUUUUUGUAUGCCAGAAAAACAUGAGUCCAAGCCAAAGUUGGUGGUGAACCUGUAGAUGAGACUACAUAGCUCCUCUAGCAGGAAAAUUUAUCCAAGUGUAUUGUCUGUUGUCAUGCUUGUAUUUGGGGAAUGUUCCAGAGUACUAUGAUAUUAUCUGGAAUAAGUUAUUGGUUGUGCUGCAAGUUACCAGAAGCAUCAACAAAACCAACAUCCCGUCAAUAACAAUUCAAUCCCAGAUGUUGCGAUUCCUAAUCAAAGCGCAGAUCCAAGUCUUGUAGGGAUCACACAUACUGUUUUUAUUUUGAGGAUCAGACUGUAUUUUGUGAUGUUCCGUGUAGCUACUUUGAUGUAAACCAUGUACUCUUCUUUGAUGGAAACCCUGUGCUUCUUGUAUAUAUGUUUAUGAUUACAUAAUAUAUAUAGUAUUUUUCUUGUAU